UUUGUAAUCCUUUUACCUGAACAGAAACAGUAACAAAAACAAAACAUUGCAAAGAGGUUGUAUUUUAGAGAGAGUGAGAGAGACCAGCCACUGUUAUGCUUCAUAGUGGGUUCUAUGGAUAAUGGUGAAGCUAUUUAUAUUUCAUUUUACUAUCCUAUUUCCACUCCUUUUGCUGUGUUUAAGAAGCUAUAGAUUGCCUCCAAAUGCUGAGUUCCUGGGCAGUUGUUCUUUUUCCUCUGUCAAAAUGUUUUAAAGGAUAGUCAACAACCGAAGAAGUCAAUUCAAGUUGAAAAGAGCCUUUAUUGAAUUCCCAGUGAUCACAGGACAGGGCCAGACCUGGGGAAGAUUAAAAGAUGAGGAACCCUAAUUCAAGUUUCCUGGAGAUCACUGUCUGGUUGGGGAGAUAGGAAUGUGGUUUAGUGUGGUAGGCCUAGUCUAUCUGCAUUCAAAUCAUGGUUCUGUCACUCCAGCCAGGUCCUUGGGCAAGUUCCUGAAUCUCUCUGUCCCUCAGUUGCUUCAUCUGUGAAAUGGGAAGGAUCAUGAUAGUACCUACCUAAUAGUCAUGUUCUGAUGACUAAAUGAGCUAGUAUACAGGAACUUCUCAGAAGAAUGUCUAGCACUCAAAAAAAUGUCAAAGUUUUCUUUCUUUUGUAUUUUAAUUUGUGUCUGGUUUUGAUGUUUCCCCAAUACUUCUCAGGUAUACCUUGGGAUCAAAAAUCAGCAUGGUGAUUUUUGGCGAUGGUCAUUGUGAUGGUUAAUAUGAAUUCUCAACUUGACUGGAGUGAAGGAUGCAAAGCAUUAUUCCUGGGUGUGUCUGUUAACAUCUGACUGGGAGAGGCAGACCCACCCUCAAACUGGGUGGGCGCCGUCUAAUCAGCUGCCAGCACGGCUAGGAUUAAAGCAGCCAGAAGAACAUGGAAGCACUAGACUGGCUGAGUCUUCCAGCCUCAUCUUUCUCCUGUGCUGGAUGCUUCCUGCCCUGGAACAUCGGACUCCAAGUUCUUCUGCUUUUGGACUCUUGGACUUGCACCAGUGGUUUGCCAGGGGCUCUCAGGCCUUCGGCCACAGACUGAAGGUUGCCCUGACGGCUUCCCUACUUUUGAAGUUUUGGGACUCGGACUGACUUCCUGGCUCCUCAGCUUGCAGACGGCCUAUUGUGGGACUUCACCUUGUGAUCGUGUGUUUUUAUGUCCUCAGAAAGGUGAUGGUUAAAAGUAAAAAACAAGCAAUACCUGCAGCCAAGAAGAACAGUAGACAAAUUUCUGAAUCCAAUACGGUUUCAUCCUUCAGGGAUGAGGAAACUGACGCUCAGGGAAAUGAAG